GCCGGGCAUGGUGGCUCAUGCCUGUAAUCCCAGCACUUUGGGAGGCUGAAGCAGGCGGAUCACCUGAGGUCAGGAGUUCAAGACCAGCCUGGCCAACAUGGUGAAACCCUGUCUCUA
ensembl:misc_RNA Metazoa_SRP Metazoan signal recognition particle RNA